ensembl:lncRNA novel transcript, antisense to ZNF518Band CLNK
AACCGAAGAAAACCAAAACCGUCAACGCUCAGCUCCGAGGCCCGCAGGAGGCUUUAAAAAUGGCCUCCUGACGACACUUCCUGCUCGGCGCGGACGAGAGACACGGCGGUGGGGAAGACACCUAGACUUCGGGAUUUCCAGGACUGGCCCUAUCUCCUGCUGGGUGUGAGGACUCUGGCCAAGUUUGCCACCUCUCCGGGGUUUCAUUUUUCUCUUAGGGCUUUGGCCUACUGUCCUCUCAGACUGACCAAAGGGUUAUGAUUUGCGGUCAUCGUCAUCGUGAGCAGCACCCAACUACUACUCGAGAUACCCAGGCCUAGCUUACAGGAAGCAGGGGACGGAGUCCUGUAUUCAGGCACCUUGGAUGUGUGGGUUCCCCCAGCAGCUGAGCAUCACCCCAGCCUGCUCCUUCCAGGUGACACUAAGGAAGUGCAACCCCUCCCAGAAGAGCAUGAGCCUGGUGAAGUCCUCAGUGGAACCAGAACUGUUCUUCUCGUCAAGCAGUUAUCUAUGUUAUCUUUCUUGGCACGAUUGUCUUAUGGAUUAGGGAGAUUAGGGGUAAUAAAUGUCUCGUUUGAGUGACAA